GACGAACGCUGGCGGCGUGCCUAAUACAUGCAAGUUGAGCGCUGAAGGCUGGUACUUGUACCAACUGGAUGAGCAGCGAACGGGUGAGUAACGCGUGGGGAAUCUGCCUUUGAGCGGGGGACAACAUUUGGAAACGAAUGCUAAUACCGCAUAAAAACUUUAAACACAAGUUUUAAGUUUGAAAGAUGCAAUUGCAUCACUCAAAGAUGAUCCCGCGUUGUAUUAGCUAGUUGGUGGGGUAAAGGCUCACCAAGGCGAUGAUACAUAGCCGACCUGAGAGGGUGAGAGGCCACAUUGGGACGGAGACACGGCCCAAACCCCUGCGAGAGGCAGCAGGAGGGAAUCUUCGGCAAUGGACGAAAGUCUGACCGAUCAACGCCGCGUGAGUGAAGAAGGGCUUCGGAUCGUAAAACUCUGUUGGUAGAGAAGAACGUUGGUGAGAGUGGAAAGCUCAUCAAGUGACGGUAACUACCCAGAAAGGGACGGCUAACUACGUG
rnacentral:rRNA from 1 species